UACGUAGGGUGCGAGCGUUAAUCGGAAUUACUGGGCGUAAAGCGUGCGCAGGCGGUUCGUCGUGUCCGGUGUGAAAGCCCCGGGCUCAACCUGGGAAUGGCAUUGGAGACUGGCGGGCUGGAGUGUGGCAGAGGGGGGUGGAAUUCCGCGUGUAGCAGUGAAAUGCGUAGAUAUCGGGAGGAACAUCUGUGGCGAAGGCGACACCCUGGACCAGCACUGACACUGAGGCACGAAAGCGUGGGGAGCAAACAGG
rnacentral:rRNA from 1 species